rnacentral:rRNA from 1 species
AUGACCCAAUUUUGUACAAAGUUAGUACAAAGUUGGGUCAUCUAUUUUGGAACGGAGGGAGUAGCAGAGAUCAACACGAUGGAUUCUGCAGCAGAUGAUAGCAUCAAGAUGAAAUCAGCAGCAGAUGCGAACAACAAGACCAAGAGAUCCAGUCCAAGGAUGCAUAGCCUGCGGCAGCUGCCUAAACCAAUCGCCAAAUUCGAUCCGUCACCGUCCGGCCUGUGGAUCAAUGACGGCCUGGAGUGGUUCGAGCUCCUGGGCCCCCGCCGCAGCGAAAGCAGGGUCGUCAACGCCAACGUGGCCGGCGACACCGUGCUAUACGACGCCGACGAGGGCAUCAUCCUCAACUUGCCUUCGCUCCACGAGCCCAAGGGAACCAACCCCGUCUGCCUCUCAAUCACCCACCCCGACGCUGAGGAAGACGCUCUCUAUGUCAUGGACCGCUAUCCCGGCCGGGCCCUUGCGCGGCGUAACACUGGCGGUCCUGGCAUGCACUCCUGCUUCGAGGUGCUCGAGUGCAGGCCCAGCUCCAGAUUUCUGGACGACAGCAUGAAGGGGUGGGGUUGGCGGCCUCUCCCGCCGCCGCCCUUCAUCUACGAGCAUGGGUAUGAACCCACCAGGAUCAUGUCCUACACAGUUGUUGGCGAUGGAACUACCUUGUGCAUCUCGUCAGAUAGGAAUGGCAUCGGGACCUACUGCUUUGACACAGUGCGCGCCGAUGAUACCCACCGCUUAGGGUGGGAUUACCGGGAUGAAUGGAGGCACGUUGGGAAUUGGGCGCUGCCCUUCUACGACAAAGCAGAGUAUGUCCCUGAAUUCAAGCUAUGGUUUGGCUUCAGUCCCCCCAGGCCAAACCACCUGUGCGCCGUUGACCUGUCCACCAUGGACCAUGGCCAACCGCCCAUUGUGCAUCAUGUUUGGGAAGAUCUUGAUCAGCCUGAGGAAGAGGACUGGGUACCAACGCAUUUCAGGAUACUGAACCUUGGCUCUGGCAAGUUUUGUGUUGCUAAAAUCAUUAGCGCAGGGGCAACUGGCAUGAAAUUUUCGGUGCUCACUGGCAUCGAGAUGGUGCACGACAAAGAUGAUCAGAGCCUCCGGAUGUUCAAGCACAAGAGUAAACGCUACAUGUUCAGCACGCCAGAUGUAAUCCACUGGGUUAUCUGA